GACCCGUCUUGAAACACGGACCAAGGAGCCCAACAUUUGCGCGAGUCGCUCGGUCUUGAAUAGGCCUGAGAGGCGUAAUAAACAUAAAGGUAUGAUCCUUCGACACCUUUCGAGGUUAGAAGGCGCAAUGCCGACCUGCUUUAUUUGCUUUUUGCAAGAAAGUGGAGUUUGAGCGUAAAUGUUGGUACCCGAAAGAUGGUGAACUAUACUUGGGCAAGACGAAGCCAGAGGAAACUCUGGUGGAGGUCUGUAGCGAUUCUGACGUGCAAAUCGAUCGUCAGACCUGAGUAUAGGGGCGAAAGACUAAUCGAACCAUCUAGUAGCUGGUUCCCUCCGAAGUUUCCCUCAGGAUAGCUAACACCAAACUCUGUAACAUCCGGUAAAGCGAAUGAUUAGAGGUAUUGGGAUCGAAACGAUCUCAACCUAUUCUCAAACUUUAAAUGGGUGCGAAGCAUGACUUUUUUAACUAAAGUCUUGCUUUGUAAGAGUGGUGUUUAGUGGGCCAUUUUUGGUAAGCAGAACUGGCGAUGUGGGAUGAACCAAUCGUAGAGUUAAGGCACCAAAUGCCGACGCUCAUGAGACCCCAUGAAAGGUGUUGGUUGCUUUAGACAGCAGGACGGUGGCCAUGGAAGUUGGAAUCCGCUAAGGAGUGUGU
rnacentral:rRNA from 1 species